CUACUUUGCUGACGAGCGGCGGACGGGUGAGUAAUGCUUGGGAACAUGCCUUGAGGUGGGGGACAACAGUUGGAAACGACUGCUAAUACCGCAUAAUGUCUACGGACCAAAGGGGGCUUCGGCUCUCGCCUUUAGAUUGGCCCAAGUGGGAUUAGCUAGUUGGUGAGGUAAUGGCUCACCAAGGCGACGAUCCCUAGCUGGUUUGAGAGGAUGAUCAGCCACACUGGGACUGAGACACGGCCCAGACUCCUACGGGAGGCAGCAGUGGGGAAUAUUGCACAAUGGGCGCAAGCCUGAUGCAGCCAUGCCGCGUGUGUGAAGAAGGCCUUCGGGUUGUAAAGCACUUUCAGUCAGGAGGAAAGGUUAGUAGUUAAUACCUGCUAGCUGUGACGUUACUGACAGAAGAAGCACCGGCUAACUCCGUGCCAGCAGCCGCGGUAAUACGGAGGGUGCGAGCGUUAAUCGGAAUUACUGGGCGUAAAGCGUACGCAGGCGGUUUGUUAAGCGAGAUGUGAAAGCCCCGGGCUCAACCUGGGAACUGCAUUUCGAACUGGCAAACUAGAGUGUGAUAGAGGGUGGUAGAAUUUCAGGUGUAGCGGUGAAAUGCGUAGAGAUCUGAAGGAAUACCGAUGGCGAAGGCAGCCACCUGGGUCAACACUGACGCUCAUGUACGAAAGCGUGGGGAGCAAACGGGAUUAGAUACCCCGGUAGUCCACGCCGUAAACGAUGUCUACUA
rnacentral:rRNA from 2 species